rnacentral:rRNA from 1 species
UACGUAGGCAGCGAGCGUUGUUCGGAGUUACUGGGCGUAAAGGGCGCGUAGGCGGGAUGGCAAGUCGGUCGUGAAAUCCCUCGGCUCAACUGAGGAACGUCGAUCGAUACUGCUGUUCUUGAGGAUUGCAGAGGAGACUGGAAUUCCCGGUGUAGCGGUGAAAUGUGUAGAGAUCGGGAGGAACACCGGUGGCGAAGGCGGGUCUCUGGGCAAUUCCUGACGCUGAGGCGCGAAAGCGUGGGGAGCAAACGGG